AUACGGAGGAUCCGAGCGUUAUCCGGAUUUAUUGGGUUUAAAGGGUGCGCAGGCGGGAGAUUAAGUCGGCGGUGAAAUUUUGCAGCUCAACUGUAAAAGUGCCUUCGAAACUGGUUUCCUUGAGUGUAGAUGAAGUAGGCGGAAUUUGUGGUGUAGCGGUGAAACGCAUAGAUAUCACGAGGAACUCCGAUUGCGCAGGCAGCUUACUAAACUACUACUGACGCUCAGGCACGAAGGCGUGGGGAUCAAACAGGAUUAGAUACCCUGGUAGUCCACGCAGUAAACGAUGAUUACUAGCUGUUUGCGAUACAAUGUAAGCGGCUGAGCGAAAGCGUUAAGUAAUCCACCUGGGGAGUACGUUCGCAAGAAUGAAACUCAAAUGAAUUGACGGGG
rnacentral:rRNA from 1 species